UUAUGAAAAGAAGCAAAAACAAUAAUCCAAAAAAAGCUAAAAGAAGGCCAAAUCCUAAACAUAAAAAAUUAGUCUGGGACCAACUGACACCCGAUCCAUCCUACAACAAAACUCUUAUCUGAUUUUAUCAGUGUGAUAAAUAAUCUAUUUCUUCAAACAACACAUUAUCCAAAUCCUGUUGGCAAUGUUGCAUUUCCCUUUCCAUCAUGUUCAUUGUGAUUGCUUCACCGACAUUUUAGUGUCAGUUGAUGCUCUCUUUUCGGGUGUUGUCUUCUUCGAUCUUGGAUCUCUUUUAUAUGGUGCAAUUGAGUUUGCCUUCUGAUAAGCUGAUAGUGCUAAUUUUCAUGUAUUCUUAGAACUUUGUACCGCCCUCUGCUUACUUUUUGACUUGUUUCUUUAAUUUGUGGAUCUGACUCUGAUAGCUUUAGAUUUUUGUACCCUGACCAAAGCUCGCCUUAAUUCCAGAUCCUUUAUAUUAUUUUCUUUCUUCUAUGUAUAUACCUUUUUUUUUCCCUUGAAAUCUCUAAUGUAAUGAUCUGGCAUUACUAGUAAAGUUGAGAUUCUUAUUA